rnacentral:rRNA from 1 species
CACAUGUGACGAGUUUGAUCAUGGCUACAGAACGAACGCUGGCGGCAGGCUUAACACAUGCAAGUCGAGCGCCCCGCAAGGGGAGCGGCAGACGGGUGAGUAACGCGUGGGAAUCUACCCAUCCCUACGGAACAACUCUGGGAAACUGGAGCUAAUACCGUAUACGCCCUUUGGGGGAAAGAUUUAUCGGGGAUGGAUGAGCCCGCGUUGGAUUAGCUAGUUGGUGGGGUAAUGGCCUACCAAGGCAACGAUCCAUAGCUGGUCUGAGAGGAUGAUCAGCCACACUGGGACUGAGACACGGCCCAGACUCCUACGGGAGGCAGCAGUGGGGAAUAUUGGACAAUGGGCGCAAGCCUGAUCCAGCCAUGCCGCGUGAGUGAUGACGGCCCUAGGGUUGUAAAGCUCUUUCACCGGUGAAGAUAAUGACGGUAACCGGAGAAGAAGCCCCGGCUAACUUCGUG